UACGAGGGGGGCAAGCGUUGUUCGGAAUUAUUGGGCGUAAAGGGUGCGUAGGCGGUUUGAUAAGUCACAUGUGAAAUCUUCGGGCCUCAACCCGAAGUCUGCAUGCGAAGCUGUCGGGCUUGAGUAUGGGAGAGGUGAGUGGAAUUUCCGGUGUAGCGGUGAAAUGCGUAGAUAUCAGGAGGAACACCAAUGGCGAAGGCAGCUCGCUGGGACGUGACUGACGCUGAGACGCGAAAGCGUGGGGAGCAAACAGG
rnacentral:rRNA from 1 species